UUCAUGUGCCUGUUCUACUCGGGCCACACUGCCUAUGUCAGGCUGUGAAGUCACAGCUAUUUCCCAGGAACAGCUUAAUUCAACUUCUAGCAGAUCUGCAUGUACUAUCUGUUAGAAGUCUGACUCAUCCAUUUCUUUGGCAAAAACCCAACAAACUCCACUGCUUUUAGAAAAUGGACAAUUGAAAAAUGUCUCCUCUCUUUAGAAGGAGGAAACCAAAACCCAUCGACAGCUGAGCUUAGUGCAGGACCUUUUUCUGGUACCCUUAUCCUGGCUGAGUUCUGCUACUACAAAACCACAACACCAGCAGAGAAGCAGAAUGGCCACUACCACUUCAAACACUCCAGGUAUUUUCCAGGCUGAGCAGCCCCAACUUUCUCAACCUGUCUUGGAGGGGAAGGUGCUUCCAGCUGUAUCAGCCUCCCCAUGAAGCAUUAAUAGUGGGUUUCAUCAGGCUUGGCAACUUCUCAGUAACAUUCUUGACCCAUGCUCCCAGAAGCCAAAGCACCUCCCUUGAAAGCGGGUCAGGCCAACAGAUGAGUACCCAAUACAUUAUACACACAUCAUA